UACGGAGGAUGCGAGCGUUAUCCGGAUUUAUUGGGUUUAAAGGGUGCGUAGGCCGAAGAUUAAGUCAGUGGUAAAAUUGCGGGGCUCAACCUCGUAUCGCCAUUGAAACUGGUUUUCUUGAGUGGGCGAGAAGUAUGCGGAAUGCGUGGUGUAGCGGUGAAAUGCAUAGAUAUCACGCAGAACUCCGAUUGCGAAGGCAGCAUACCGGCGCCCAACUGACGCUGAAGCACGAAAGCGUGGGUAUCGAACAG
rnacentral:rRNA from 1 species